UGCCGACUCAGGUGUCAAUAAAGCAAAGGCCAUCCUCCACCCCAUGCAGUCUGGAGGAGGAAGCAGCCACUAGACAAAUAACCCCACAAAGCAUUUCUCCGGACUGCGGUGGAGAGAGCUGAAAGGAGGUGCAGGCUGCGGGAAUGAGCGCUUCCAAGAGGGGGCAGCACCGAGCUAAUGUGCCCCGAUCUUGAAGAGCCCCAGAGGACCGGCCCCUAGGGCAGUUGGAGCCGGGAACCGCCUUCCAGAAACCCUACACAACCACCUCAGUUGAGAGCCACUGCCCCAUGAGUGCGUGAUGCCUGCAGGAGGCUAAGCCACCAGAUGGAAAAGGUGCAGCGGGAAUACAGUGGCCUGGCCUGGUUGAGGCGGGGUGCUGUCUGGGGGCAGGCCCAGCAAUGGUGAGGAAAUGGUGGUUCAGAGAGGUCAUCAGACUUACCCAAGCUCACACAGCCUGGAGGUGAACUCACUGCAGUGUGAACCCAGGAUCUUCUCAUAAAGCCUCCCGUUUGGUUCUUGGUGGACAGUUUGAAGGUGGAGGUCGUUGUACCCUUUGAAAGAGGGAGGAGUGGGAACCAGAGAUUGGUUGCCAAGGUCUGGAGAGGGUGAAGCGAGUGAGGGGCCCAGAGGACACCCUAAAAGGAAAAGAUGAUUUAAGGAGGCACAAGACUGAAGCAGGCACUCGCUCUCAGGCUCCCACCCUAGGCACCUGGCUCACCUCGCUCAGGUCCCAGCCCUGCUGACUGCUUCUUGAUGACCGAGCUCAGCAUCUGCGAACAGCUGUGACACCGUAAGGCUGGAGCGGCCACGGAUAUUCGUGGGAGGCAGGCUCAAGACGCUGGUGGCAGCAGACAGCUAAAAUGACGUCUGCGUGGGGGCAAGGCAGCAGAUUCUGGCUCAGCUCCCGCGAGUGUCCGCAACCCUUCAUGCUGUGCUGUUUUGGUGACGGUACCUCCUUCCCUGGAGGUGUUUGAGGGUUAGACUCUGCCUCGAAGAGAGUUCUGAGCGGACCUCUGGAGAGACGGGCAUCAACCCAUCAUCAAACCCAUUUUGUCCUUUAGAUUCUCUCUCCAUUUGCAGUCACUGUAAGGCUGGUUUUCUCUGGAUGCACCCUGGGCCCAGCCUCCACCUGCUGUCAGCCCGCUGUGGGCCCCAGGGCCUCAGAGAGUCCCCUGACCUCGGAACAGCUGUCAUUUAUCAGACCCGUCUGCACAGCAGACCUUGCAUUUAGCACCCUACAUCUCAUGCCUCACUGAGCUCUCACCAGUCUUUAGAGGUAAGGACUUGGUGGUCUCCACAUUCCCGAUGAGGACACUAGGGCCCAGAGAAGGUGAGCAACCUGGCCCUGACCCCAGAGCUAAGAAGCGGCAGAGGCAGGAUUUGAACCCACAACUCCAGAGGCACAUUCUUUACCCCGAUGCCCUGCUCCUCCAUUUUUCAUGAGCUCUGAGCUUGCCGAGUGCUGGCCACUAGAUUGGCGGCUCCCACUGUCCCCUGGACCUCGGGGAUCCCCAAGGCUGGAGGUCUGGAGGCCCUCAGAACUCUAGAGUGUUUUCAGGAGGUCACUGUGGGGUUAAAGCAGGUUCUGUCUUUCCCCGACUUCCCUGGGUGGGAGGUUCCCAGAAGUACAGGGCCAGCUGUACUGGCGGCCCCUUUUCCCGCGAGGGGAGGGGGUGGUAGGAGUUGGGACACGUCCUCUUUGAAGGUUCUCUCUUGCUGCUUCUGACCACUUCCUCUUUCCCUGGGUGGAGGCAGCUGGGGCGGACUAAUGGCAGCCAUCCCAGGAGCGGCCGAUGAGGCCUCUGAGUCUGUCCUGGAGAGGCUGGCCCUUCUCCACCUGGGCUUCCGUCCCCUCCCCCCGCAGGCCCUCCCUGAGUCCCCGAGAGCAGAGCAGGAGGGCAGUGAGUCGUCUUCCUGAGCUCUCGCUCCGCUGGACUGAAAACACGUCCUCCUGCGGCUUCCCACCCUCCCUUCAGGCCCCACAGGGGCUGGAUCUGCUUCCAGCAACUUCCAUGGAGGGCGUGGCCCAAGUUCAGGACUCCUGCCCGGACAGCCAGACCCCUCAGAGUGCCCAGGGAGGUGAGGACCCCGGCUGUGGGUAGAAGCCCCAGCCUCGCCCUGGGCACCUCAACCAUGAGUGCCCCCUGCGGGCAGAGGAGAUGUGGCCUGGGAAGAAGAUGGGCAUUGAGAAAUGUGGGUCCCAGGCCUGGCUCUGGUGCUGGUCAGCUUGGCCAGGUUGCUUUUCUUCUUGGGCCUCAGUUUCCCCACCCAUGCAAUGGGCAUAAAUAAAAGCACUUCCAAAGGUUGCAGAAGUAAACGCGGUGCUGUAUGUCUCAUGCUAAGCAGAGAGCCUGGUACGCAGCAAGGGUUUAGUCUCUUGCUUGUGGCUGAGCACAGCCUGCAGCGGGUCUGAGCUGCCCAGGGUGCACCCCGCUCCCCCCAGCCCCGGCUAAGGGAGGCCAGUCACAGCUACUCCGGUCUGUUCCCCACCUCCGCCUGUCCCAGCAGUGCCUGGCUUCCAGCUGUAGCAGGCACAGCCCUCCAGCUCAGGUUGACAAGGAACGUCACCCGUCCUCGGUAGCCUGUAGCCUCCCCACCCCACCUGGCCAGUUUGGUAGAACAUCAAUGUCAGUCACUGGGUCAUGGCUUGUUUUGUCGUGGUAAAACACGCGUACCAUAAAAUGAACCAUCUUUAAUGAUGAAGGGUACAGUUCUGUGGCAUUAAGGGCAUUCACACUUCUGUGCAAUCACCCACCUCCAGAACUUUCUCGUCUUCCUGGACUGAAAGUCUGUCCUCGCUAAACACAGCUCCCCACCCCUGCCCCAGUCCCUGCAGCCACCCCUCUGCUUUCUGUCUUGACCAUCUGACCACCCUCCGAGACUCUUCUAUGUGGAAUCCUACAGUAUCGGCCUUUUCGUGACUGAUUUAUUUCAAUUAGCAUAAUGUCCUCAAGGUUCUUCCGUGUCGGAGCAUGGGUCAGAAUUUUCAUCCUUUUUAUGUUUGACUAUUUCAUUGUAUGUUGAAACCACAUUUUGCUCAUCCACUUAACCAUCAGGGGACACCUGGCUUCCACAUCCUGGCUGUCAUGAAUAAUAGGACUACACACAUGGGUGUGCAAAUAUCUGUCUGAGUCCCUGCUUUCAGUUCUUUGGGGUGUAUACCUAGAAGUGGAAUUUCUAGAUCAUAUGGUAAUUACGUUUGACUUUUUUUAGGAACCGCCCAAAGUCUUGGGGUUUCAAGUAGGACCCAAGCAUUGGGGAAGCCCCUCUGGCCACACUGUGGACAGGGAGAUAUGAAAUCAAGAGCAAGACAUCAUGGGUUCAAAGCCCGGUUCUGCCACUUCUCAAUGGGGUGACCUUGGGCAAGUCACUUAGCCUCUGUGCCUCAGUGUCUCAGCUGUACUGUGGGGGGAGAGCAGCAGCUGCCUUGUGGGGCUGUGGUGGUAUUGAGAGUAUGUACUUAGAACAGUGCCUGGCACACCGGAAGCUCGAGGAACUAUUAGCUCCUUGUUCUUCCAGGGAUCGGCUCCUGCCAUCUCACUCCUUCCAUGGCCCCACCCCAGCCUGGUCCCUGCAUGGAGCAUCCCUUUGGAGCUGGCCUUGCUCCCUCCCCAGGACUUCGACUUCUUUCCCCCCCUUUUCCAGGUUUCUGGGACCCUCUCUUCCAUGAGGGAGUCUCUCUUUCCCUGCCCAUGGCUUCACCUCUUGAAAACAAAAGUGAGGAAGUAAUGCCUCAGACUAACUCUGGGAGAACCUGAGCCCGGACCCGAGGGGAAACCAAGCACACAGGCCAACAGGCGG